rnacentral:rRNA from 1 species
GAUGAACGCUAGCGGCAGGCCUAAUACAUGCAAGACGAACGGUAAGUUGAGUAGCAAUACUUAGCCAAGAGUGUCGUACGGGUGCGUAACACGUAUGCAACCUACCCUAUACAGGAGGAUAGCCUAGGGAAACCUGGAUUAACCCUUCAUAGUAUUAUUGGAUGGCAUCAUUUGAUAAUUAAAACUGAGGUGGUAUAGGAUGGGCAUGCGUCUGAUUAGUUAGUUGGCGGGUAAUGGCCCACCAAGACGAUGAUCAGUAGGGGUUCCGAGAGGAAGAUCCCCCACACUGGCACUGAGAUACGGGCCAGACUCCUACGGGAGGCAGCAGUAGGGAAUAUUGGUCAAUGGAUGCAAGUCUGAACCAGCCAUGCCGCGUGCAGGAAGAAGGCCUUUCUGGGGUUGUAAACUGCUUUUGCCAGGGGAUAAAAUUUCCAUGCGUGGAAAACUGAAGGUACCUGGUGAAUAAGCCACGGCUAACUACGUGCCAGC